GACGAACCGUGCAAACGUUGUUCGGAAUCACUGGGCUUAAAGGGCGCGUAGGCGGGUUCGUAAGUCUGUGGUGAAAGCCCCCAGCUUAACUGGGGAAGUGCCAUGGAUACUGCGAGUCUUGAGGAGGGUAGGGGCAUCUGGAACACUGGGUGGAGCGGUGAAAUGCGUUGAUAUCCGGUGGAACUCCGGUGGCGAAGGCGAGGUGCUGGACCCUUCUGACGCUGAUGCGCGAAAGCCAGGGGAGCAAACGGGAUUAGCAAA
rnacentral:rRNA from 1 species